ACACUAGGUACAAAUGAUAAACAAUUGCCUAAGGUUGCCUGGACCCAAAGACCCAGGUGAGUUAAGUUACGGAACUUGUUUAAUUGAGGUCCAAAGUUGGGGUAGGGUGACCCUACCCCACCCAAUUUUAAUUCAUAUAAAAGUCACUACGGCAAAGCUUUUGUCCACACUAGGUACAAAUGAUAGGCAAUUGCCUAAGGUUGCCAGGACCCAAAGACCCAGGUGGGUAAAGUUACGGAACUUUUUUAAUUGAGGUCCAAAGUUGGGGUAGGGUGACCAUACCACCACCAAAUUUUAAUUCAUAAAAAAGUCCCUACGGCAAAGCUUUUGUCCACACUAGGUACAAAUGAUAGGCAAUUGCCUAAGGUUGCCUGGACCCAAAGACCCAGGUGGGUAAAGUUACGGAACUUUUUUAAUUGAGGUCCAAAGUUGGGGUAGGGUGACCCAACCCCCACCCAAUUUUAAUUCAUAAAAUAGUCCCUACGGCAAAGCUUUUGUCCACACUAGGUAUAAAUGAUAGGCAAUUGCCUAAGGUUGCCUGGACCCAAAGACCCAGGCGGGUAAAGUUACGGAACUUUUAUAAUUGAGGUCCAAAGUUGGGAUAUAGUGACCCAACCCCCUCCCUUCUUUAAUUCAUAAAAAAUUUCC